rnacentral:lncRNA from 1 species
AGUCAUUCCUAGGCUGCCUCAAAGACACAAGACAACAGCUGCACCUCCAGCAUUGCAUCUGCAUUCUCCACAGAGGACAGAAAAGGGCAAAGGUCACCCUGCUCCUCUCCUGUCCAUGGUGCUAGAGUCACUGGAGACCUGGCGGCUCUUCAGGUGGCAAAUUAGGCCAAGCGGCCACUGCGGUGCUGAGCGGUCCAUCCUCCGGGCGGUGCUGACCAGUCCAUCCUCUGGGCGGUGCCCGUCCAUCUGCUGAGAUCAACUCCCACUGCAGGGCUGUGCUGGUGUCUGGGCCGGGCACUGGCCCCUCACCCCAGCCCUGAGGGUUCACGAGGACUCAGCCUUCCUGGACUGGGUCGCACCUUCUCUUCCUGACCUCAGCUGCCUGCCUCCAGCUCCAUGGGCUUUUGAAGACAAGGGACAAGAGAUUGCUGACUUCUGGAAGACCAGCUGUUGUUGGCGAGGGAAUCAGGCAGACCCUCUUCCUUUUUCUUGUCGAGGAUCCAGCCUGAGGGAACCUCCUUCAGCCUCUCUGGCAGGUUGUCCUGCCUCCUGGGUCCCACUGUCAAGAAGAGACGGGUUUGCUUUUGACUCUGACUUCACGCAGCUCAUAUGGUGCCUUCCACAGCAAGGAUUCCUCAGCUCCUCUGGGUCCUUCUCCCCGUCCCCGUGGUCACGGCCACCCUGCCGUCCAGGCAGUUUCCUUAGCAGCUUCCUGGGCCCCCGGCUGUAUGAAUUCCCUCCAGUGGGCUCUGAAGCCCUUGAUCUUUCUUUUCUCAGCAUUUAUCAUGGAGGGUGGAAGUGAACCAUCUGCCAACAGUCCUCUGCUCAGGCACAGCACGGGGCCAGGCUGGGCGUGUGAUGGUCACGGGCCUGUGUAGUGUCCCUGAAUAGGUAGCAAAUAAAAGAGUGUUCAUUCAAGGUGUGCUGAAUGAACGAAUACAUGAAAAAACGCUUGGGGGUGGGGAGUGAAUGGAUUUCAAAUUCUCAGGCUGCACUUUCCAAAUCCGACACAGUCACAUUCAGCCGCUUGUCAAGACUGUUUGACAGCCACCCCUUUCCCGCAUUCCCGGCCCCCUGAGCAGCCACGGCUGCUGUCACAUCUGCCUCUUGAUGUUGCUGGGCCUGGAGAGUUACCCAUGCACACUGAACAUCAAGGUCAGUAUUUUUAGACGCAAUUCUUUAAUUUUUGAAAAUGCUCCAAAGAGAUUUUAGUGAUGGGAACAUAUUUGACAAAUAUAAAUAAAUGUAAGAGCUAUAGAAAUAAACUUCCC